rnacentral:misc_RNA from 1 species
GAUGAAGAACGUAGCGAAAUGCGAUAAGUAAUGUGAAUUGCAGAAUUCAGUGAAUCAUCGAAUCUUUGAACGCACAUUGCGCCCGCCAGUAUUCUGGCGGGCAUGCCUGUUCGAGCGUCAUUUCAACCAUCAAGCCCCCGGCUUGUGUUGGGGACCUGCGGCUGCCGCAGGCCCUGAAAACCAGUGGCGGGCUCGCUAGUCACUCCGAGCGUAGUAAUACAUCUCGCUCAGGGCGUGCUGCGGGUUCCGGCCGUUAAAAAGCCUUAUUUACCCAAGGUUGACCUCGGAUCAGGUAGGAAGACCCGCUGAACUUUAGCAUAUCAAUAAGCGGAGGA